UGGUGGAGUGAUUUGUCUGGUUAAUUCCGUUAACGAACGAGACCGCGACUUGCUAAAUAGUUGAGCGAAUGCCUCGCAUUCGGCUUGUCAACUUCUUAGAGGGACUAUCGGUGUCUAACCGGAGGAAGUUCGCGGCAAUAACA
rnacentral:rRNA from 1 species